rnacentral:rRNA from 1 species
UACGAAGGGUGCUAGCGUUGUUCGGAAUUACUGGGCGUAAAGCGCGCGUAGGCUGUCUUGCAAGUCAGGGGUGAAAUCCUGGGGCUUAACCCCAGAAUUGCCUUUGAAACUGCAAGGCUAGAGUGUCGGAGGGGAUAGCGGAAUUCCUAAUGUAGAGGUGAAAUUCGUAGAUAUUAGGAGGAACACCGGUGGCGAAGGCGGCUAUCUGGACGACAACUGACGCUGAGGCGCGAAAGCGUGGGGAGCAAACAGG